rnacentral:rRNA from 1 species
CUGACAGAGGGAUAGCCAUUGGAAACGAUGAUUAAAACCUCAUAACGCCGAAGGAACACAUGCUUCAUCGGCCAAAGAUUUAUCGGUCAGGGAUGGGCCUGCGUCUGAUUAACUAGUUGGUGAGGUAACGGCCCACCAAGGUGACGAUCAGUAGCCGACCUGAGAGGGUGAUCGGCCACAUUGGAACUGAGACACGGUCCAAACUUCUACGGAAGGCAGCAGUAGGGAAUCUUGCACAAUGGGCGAAAGCCUGAUGCAGCAACGUCGCGUGAAGGAUGAAGGCCUUCGGGUUGUAAACUUCUGUUCUUAGGGAAGAAGAAAGUGACGGUACCUAAGGAGAAAGCCCCGGCUAACUACGUGCCAGCAGCCGCGGUAAUACGUAGGGGGCAAGCGUUAUCCGGAAUUAUUGGGCGUAAAGAGUGCGUAGGUGGUUAUCUAAGCGUAAGGUUUAAGCGUGCAGCUCAACUGCAUCUCGCCUUGCGAACUGGACUACUUGAGUGCAGGAGGGGAAAGCGGAAUUCCUAGUGUAGCGGUGAAAUGCGUAGAUAUUAGGAGGAACACCAGCGGCGAAGGCGGCUUUCUGGACUGUAACUGACACUGAGGCACGAAAGCGU